rnacentral:tRNA from 1 species
ACAAACCGACCUUAGCUCAGUUGGUAGAGCGGAGGACUGUAGUCGUUGCAGAUAAAUCCUUAGGUCACUGGUUCGAAUCCGGUAGGUCGGAUAUUUCUU